UACGUAGGUGGCAAGCGUUGUCCGGAAUUAUUGGACGUAAAGCGCGCGCAGGCGGUCCCUUAAGUCUGAUGUGAAAGCCCACGGCUCAACCGUGGAGGGUCAUUGGAAACUGGGGGACUUGAGUGCAGAAGAGGAAAGUGGAAUUCCAUGUGUAGCGGUGAAAUGCGUAGAGAUGUGGAGGAACACCAGUGGCGAAGGCGACUUUCUGGUCUGUAACUGACGCUGAGGCGCGAAAGCGUGGGGAGCAAACAGG
rnacentral:rRNA from 1 species